rnacentral:rRNA from 1 species
UACGGAGGGUCCAAGCGUUAUCCGGAAUCAUUGGGUUUAAAGGGUCCGUAGGCGGUUUUGUAAGUCAGUGGUGAAAGCCCAUCGCUCAACGGUGGAACGGCCAUUGAUACUGCAAGACUUGAAUUAUUGGGAAGUAACUAGAAUAUGUAGUGUAGCGGUGAAAUGCUUAGAGAUUACAUGGAAUACCAAUUGCGAAGGCAGGUUACUACCAAUAUAUUGACGCUGAUGGACGAAAGCGUGGGAGCGAACGAGG